UAUGUAGGGGGCAAGCGUUGUCCGGAUUUAUUGGGCGUAAAGAGCGUGUAGGCGGCCAUGUAGGUCCGUUGUGAAAACUCGAGGCUCAACCUCGAGACGCCGAUGGAAACCAUGUGGCUAGAGUCCGGAAGAGGCGAGUGGAAUUCCUGGUGUAGCGGUGGAAUGCGCAGAUAUCAGGAGGAACACCGAUGGCGAAGGCAGCUCGCUGGGACGGUACUGACGCUGAGGCGCGAAAGCGUGGGGAGCGAACAGG
rnacentral:rRNA from 1 species